AAAAAUUAAUGACUUUAGCAAAUACUAGUUAUACUCCAUUAAUGCCUUAAUCAUGUAAGUAUACACAUCUUAUUUAAGUUCAACUAUUUAUACUUCAAGACAAUUAUUAAAGACUAUUACAAGUAAUGUGAAAACCGAGAUAAUUACUAAUAUAAAUACUAACAUACUGUUUAUGAUUCAAUCCAAAUUUCAAAAAAUUCAAAAGUGAAAUAAAUAAUCAAAUUGUAAUAUUUAGCCAAAAUUUCUACCAAAAUACAUAAAAAGAAAUAAAAGAAAAUGCAUGAAAAUUAAGAAAAAUAAAAAAAAAUAUGCAGAAUAAUAAAACAAGAAAUAAGAAAUAAGAAAAUGCAACAUAUAUAAUUUCCUCCCCCACACUUGACCAACACAUCGCCCUCAAUGUGUGAAAAAAAGCAAAAAGGGAUACAAAGAAAGUUAGAAUAAUACUCCCC
rnacentral:lncRNA from 1 species